rnacentral:rRNA from 1 species
UACGGAGGAUGCGAGCGUUAUCCGGAUUUAUUGGGUUUAAAGGGUGCGUAGGUUGUUUUUUAAGUCAGCGGUGAAAGUUUGUGGCUCAACCAUAAAAUUGCCGUUGAAACUGGAAGACUUGAGUGUGUUUGAGGUAGGCGGAAUGCGUGGUGUAGCGGUGAAAUGCUUAGAUAUCAUGAAGAACUCCGAUCGCGAAGGCAAGUGUCCGGGGUGCAACUGACGCUGAGGCUCGAAAGUGCGGGUAUCAAACAGG